CCUCCUGGAGAGUACAGCAGGAGGGCGUUCCGGAGGCGCCAGCACCCUCCUUAAAUCCUUCCAUGGCUUUCAGCACAGCACCUUCAUCAGCCCGCUACAUUCCCUGACAGUAGGGGAGGCAUAGCUCGCUCUCUCUGCUUUCUCUUUUUCACCUUCACACCAGUGCCCACCUAUAGGCACACACACCUGAACACCGAGAGGCCGGCCAGCAUCUUUCUCCAGCUCCUAAUUCCAACACUAAGCAGCGCACAUCACGUCGCUGACAGCAAGGUUUUUGUAUGAAGAUAACUUCAUUUCUCUGGGAUAUGUCCAAGAGGGCAAUCGCUGGGUCAUAUGUUUGUUCAGCUGGUCAACUUCACCUGACGACACAACUAAGAUUCCGACGGAGAUGUAGCCUGCAGGAUUUUAACCCCCGUGCCAUAGGAUGCAGAAGAAAAAACUUUUAAGACUAAUUUCAUUUUUAUUUUGAAGAGUUCUGGGUU